UACGUAGGGGGCAAGGCGUUGUCCGGAAUCAUUGGGCGUAAAGCGCGUGUAGGCGGCCAGAAAAGUCCGCUGUGAAAACUCGAGGCUCAACUUCGAGCUGUCGGUGGAAACUUUCUGGCUAGAGUCCGGAAGAGGAGAAUGGAAUUCCUGGUGUAGCGGUGAAAUGCGCAGAUAUCAGGAAGAACACCCGUGGCGAAGGCGGUUCUCUGGGACGGUACUGACGCUGAGACGCGAAAGCGUGGGGAGCGAACAGG
rnacentral:rRNA from 1 species